AUGAGUAAAGUGGCGACCGGGUGAGUAACACGUGACUAACCUACCUCCAAGUGGGGAAUAACUCCGGGAAACCGGGGCUAAUACCGCAUAACAUCGCAAGAUCAAAGCAGCAAUGCGCUGGGAGAGGGGGUCGCGGCUGAUUAGCUAGUUGGCGGGGUAACGGCCCACCAAGGCGAAGAUCGGUAUCCGGCCUGAGAGGGCGCACGGACACACUGGAACUGAAACACGGUCCAGACUCCUACGGGAGGCAGCAGUGGGGAAUUUUGCGCAAUGGGGGAAACCCUGACGCAGCAACGCCGCGUGGAGGAUGAAGUCCCUUGGGACGUAAACUCCUUUCGACCAAGACGAUAAUGACGGUACUGGUGGAAGAAGCACCGGCUAACUCUGUGCCAGCAGCCGCGGUAAUACAGAGGGUGCAAGCGUUGUUCGGAAUUAUUGGGCGUAAAGGGCGCGUAGGCGGUGCCACAAGUCACCUGUGAAAUCUCCGGGCUUAACUCGGAGUCUGCAGGCGAAACUGUGGUGCUGGAGUGUGGGAGAGGUGCGUGGAAUUCCCGGUGUAGCGGUGAAAUGCGUAGAUAUCGGGAGGAACACCUGUGGCGAAAGCGGCGCACUGGACCAUAACUGACGCUGAGGCGCGAAAGCUAGGGGAGCAAACAGGAUUAGAUACCCUGGUAGUCCUAGCCCUAAACGAUGAUUGCUGGGUGUAGCAGGUACCCAAUCCUGCUGUGCC
rnacentral:rRNA from 1 species